UACGUAGGGUGCGAGCGUUAAUCGGAAUUACUGGGCGUAAAGCGUGCGCAGGCGGUUCGUUAAGUCAGAUGUGAAAGCCCCGGGCUCAACCUGGGAACUGCAUUUGAAACUGGCGGGCUUGAGUGUGGCAGAGGGGGGUGGAAUUCCGCGUGUAGCAGUGAAAUGCGUAGAGAUGCGGAGGAACACCGAUGGCGAAGGCAGCCCCCUGGGCCAACACUGACGCUCAGGCACGAAAGCGUAGGGAGCAAACAGG
rnacentral:rRNA from 1 species